GACGAACGCUGGCGGUGUGCUUCACACAUGCAAGUCGAACGAGGUAGCAAUACCUAGUGGCGGACGGGUGAGUAACGCGUGGGAAUCUGCCUUUAGAUGGGGGAUAACGGGUCGAAAGACUCGCUAAUACCGCAUAUGACGAAAGUUGAAAGGAGUAAUCCGUCUAAAGAUGAGCCCGCGUCCGAUUAGCUAGUUGGUAGAGUAAAAGCCUACCAAGGCGACGAUCGGUAGCUGGUCUGAGAGGAUGAUCAGCCACAAAUGGGACUGAGACACGGCCCAUACUCCUACGGGAGGCAGCAGUGGG
rnacentral:rRNA from 1 species